GCCAGUUAUAGUAAAAAGUCAGCCAAUAUGCUAUACUUGUGUUUGAUUUUACAUUGGGUGUAAUCCUUGUUGUAAUUGAAUUUUUAAUUUAUUUUAAGCCCGCUACUAAUGGUUUAAUGGAAAGGUGGGUUAAAUGUUCCCUUUUCUGUUAGGCUUCAUUAUGUAAUAGAGACUUAAAUUCUGGUGAGAUUCUAGCUAGAUUUGGCAACGAUAUUCUUGCUAGAUUUGGCAACG
rnacentral:misc_RNA from 1 species